AAAUUGAAGAGUUUGAUCAUGGCUCAGAUUGAACGCUGGCGGCAGGCCUAACACAUGCAAGUCGAACGGUAACAGGAAGCAGCUUGCUGCUUCGCUGACGAGUGGCGGACGGGUGAGUAAUGUCUGGGAAACUGCCUGAUGGAGGGGGAUAACUACUGGAAACGGUGGCUAAUACCGCAUAACGUCGCAAGACCAAAGAGGGGGACCUUCGGGCCUCUUGCCAUCAGAUGUGCCCAGAUGGGAUUAGCUUGUUGGUGAGGUAACGGCUCACCAAGGCGACGAUCCCUAGCUGGUCUGAGAGGAUGACCAGCCACACUGGAACUGAGACACGGUCCAGACUCCUACGGGAGGCAGCAGUGGGGAAUAUUGCACAAUGGGCGCAAGCCUGAUGCAGCCAUGCCGCGUGUAUGAAGAAGGCCUUCGGGUUGUAAAGUACUUUCAGCGGGGAGGAAGGUGUUGUGGUUAAUAACCGCAGCAAUUGACGUUACCCGCAGAAGAAGCACCGGCUAACUCCGUGCCAGCAGCCGCGGUAAUACGGAGGGUGCAAGCGUUAAUCGGAAUUACUGGGCGUAAAGCGCACGCAGGCGGUCUGUCAAGUCGGAUGUGAAAUCCCCGGGCUCAACCUGGGAACUGCAUUCGAAACUGGCAGGCUUGAGUCUUGUAGAGGGGGGUAGAAUUCCAGGUGUAGCGGUGAAAUGCGUAGAGAUCUGGAGGAAUACCGGUGGCGAAGGCGGCCCCCUGGACAAAGACUGACGCUCAGGUGCGAAAGCGUGGGGAGCAAACAGGAUUAGAUACCCUGGUAGUCCACGCCGUAAACGAUGUCUACUUGGAGGUUGUGCCCUUGAGGCGUGGCUUCCGGAGCUAACGCGUUAAGUAGACCGCCUGGGGAGUACGGCCGCAAGGUUAAAACUCAAAUGAAUUGACGGGGGCCCGCACAAGCGGUGGAGCAUGUGGUUUAAUUCGAUGCAACGCGAAGAACCUUACCUGGUCUUGACAUCCACAGAAGAAUCCAGAGAUGGAUUGGUGCCUUCGGGAACUGUGAGACAGGUGCUGCAUGGCUGUCGUCAGCUCGUGUUGUGAAAUGUUGGGUUAAGUCCCGCAACGAGCGCAACCCUUAUCCUUUGUUGCCAGCGAUUAGGUCGGGAACUCAAAGGAGACUGCCAGUGAUAAACUGGAGGAAGGUGGGGAUGACGUCAAGUCAUCAUGGCCCUUACGACCAGGGCUACACACGUGCUACAAUGGCGCAUACAAAGAGAAGCGACCUCGCGAGAGCAAGCGGACCUCAUAAAGUGCGUCGUAGUCCGGAUUGGAGUCUGCAACUCGACUCCAUGAAGUCGGAAUCGCUAGUAAUCGUGGAUCAGAAUGCCACGGUGAAUACGUUCCCGGGCCUUGUACACACCGCCCGUCACACCAUGGGAGUGGGUUGCAAAAGAAGUAGGUAGCUUAACCUUCGGGAGGGCGCUUACCACUUUGUGAUUCAUGACUGGGGUGAAGUCGUAACAAGGUAACCGUAGGGGAACCUGCGGUUGGAUCACCUCCUUACCUUAAAGA
rnacentral:rRNA from 1 species